AGCUCCUAUGUGGGUGUUUGUCUGAUGAAGAGAUAAAGACUUUAACACAGGUGCAAAAUGAAACCCUCUUUUGUAACCCAGAACUCAUUGCUCUGUAAGAGUUCUGAUACCUAUAAGAAACAUGACC